CCUACGGGAGGCAGCAGUAGGGAAUCUUCCACAAUGGACGAAAGUCUGAUGGAGCAACGCCGCGUGAGUGAAGCAGGGUUUCGGCUCGUAAAGCUCUGUUGGUAGUGAAGAAAGAUAGAGGUAGUAACUGGCCUUUAUUUGACGGUAAUUACUUAGAAAGUCACGGCUAACUACGUGCCAGCAGCCGCGGUAAUACGUAGGUGGCAAGCGUUGUCCGGAUUGCUUGGGCGUAAAGCGAGUGCAGGCGGUUAAAUAAGUCUGAUGUGAAAGCCUUCGGCUCAACCGGAGAAUUGCAUCAGAAACUGUUGAACUGGAGGGCAGAAGAGGAGAGUGGAACUCCAUGUGUAGCGGUGGAAUGCGUAGAUAUAUGGAAGAACACCAGUGGCGAAGGCGGCUCUCUGGUCUGCAACUGACGCUGAGGCUCGAAAGCAUGGGUAGCGAACAGGAUUAGAUACCCGAGUAGUC
rnacentral:rRNA from 1 species